GGGAGUAUAUAUUAGGCCCUGUCAACGGAAAUCGUUGUGCGACUUUGUGAAAAACAAUUCUACAGUUUUUUGUGUCCCAUGGGUAACUAAUCGACAAGAGAUGGUAUAUUGGAUUGGGAGAUACCAGGAAUUUAGGGAAUAGUACACGGGUCUAUUACCGUGUGGAGUAGGUCAGAGUUUCUACUUUCUCUUUGGCUUUGGCGUGUCUCAUGGUGCCUAUCCCAUCGUAGAUUGUUGGGAAUCACUCCCUCUCUCUGGUGCUAAUCUCUAUCACAAACACUUGAUCGAGCUGUUUUGAUAGACACACACAAAGACCAAGACAACACAGGAGAGGCAAUAUUUGGCGACGCAACUAUCACAGCUCACGCCUCUUUUUCUCUUGUUAAAACUAAAUUUAACUGAUGCAGUACAUCUAUAACUAAUAUAAAUAUUCGUAUUUUUCCGGUCGUCA